rnacentral:rRNA from 1 species
GCCAGCAGCCGCGGUAACACCGGCGGCCCGAGUGGUGAUCGUGAUUAUUGGGUCUAAAGGGUCCGUAGCCGGUUUGGUCAGUCCUCCGGGAAAUCUGAUAGCUCAACUAUUAGGCUUUCGGGGGAUACUGCCAGACUUGGAACCGGGAGAGGUAAGAGGUACUACAGGGGUAGGAGUGAAAUCUUGUAAUCCCUGUGGGACCACCUGUGGCGAAGGCGUCUUACCAGAACGGGUUCGACGGUGAGGGACGAAAGCUGGGGGCACGAACCGGAUUAGAUACCCGGGUAGUCCCAGCCGUAAACGAUGCUCGCUAGGUGUCAGGCAUGGCGCGACCGUGUCUGGUGCCGCAGGGAAGCCGUGAAGCGAGCCACCUGGGAAGUACGGCCGCAAGGCUGAAACUUAAAGGAAUUGGCGGGGGAGCACAACAACGGGUGGAAGCCUGCGGUUUAAUUGGACUCAACGCCGGACAACUCACCGGGGGCGACAGCAAUAUGUAGGCCAAGCUGAAGACUUUGCCUGAAUCGCUGAGAGGUGGUGCAUGG